AUACGUAGGGGGCGAGCGUUGUCCGGAAUGAUUGGGCGUAAAGGGCGCGUAGGCGGCGCGGUAAGUCUGGAGUGAAAGUCCUGCUUUCAAGGUGGGAAUUGCUUUGGAUACUGUCGGGCUUGAGUGCAGGAGAGGGAAGUGGAAUUCCCAGUGUAGCGGUGAAAUGCGUAGAGAUUGGGAGGAACACCAGUGGCGAAGGCGACUUACUGGACUGUAACUGACGCUGAGGCGCGAAAGUGUGGGGAGCAAACAGGAUUAGAUACCCUGGUAGUCCACACUGUAAACGAUGAAUGCUAGGUGUAGGGGGUAUCGACCCCUUCUGUGCCGCAGUCAACACAAUAAGCAUUCCGCCUGGGGAGUACGGCCGCAAGGUUGAAACUCAAAGGAAUUGACGGGG
rnacentral:rRNA from 1 species